rnacentral:tRNA from 1 species
GCCCCCGUAGCUCAAUGGACAGAGCCGUCCCGUCCUAAGGGAAAAAUGGGGGUUCGAUUCCCUCCGGGGGCA